CAGCCGCCGCGGUAAUACCGGCGGCCCGAGUGGCGGUCACUAUUAUUGGGCUUAAAGCGUCCGUAGCCGGGUUGGGAAGUCCUCCGGGAAAUCUGGCCGCUUAACGGUCAGAAUGCCGGAGGAUACUCCCAGCCUAGGGAGCGGGAGAGGCCGAGGGGAUUCCCGGAGUAGGGGGGAAAUCCUAUAAUCCCGGGAGGACCACCUGUGGCGAAGGCGCUCGGCUGGAACGCGUCCGACGGUGAGGGACGAAGGCCAGGGGAGCAAACCGGAUUAGAUACCCGGGUAGUCCUGGCUGUAAACGAUGCGGACUUUGUGUCGGACAAGCUAUGAGCUUGUCCGGUGCCGGAGGGAAACCGUUAAGUCCGCCGCCUGGGGAGUACGGCCGCAAGGCUGAAACUUAAAGGAAUUGGAGGG
rnacentral:rRNA from 1 species